rnacentral:rRNA from 1 species
CGAUCUAGUACAUGCCGAAAUAAGGCGAAACCGCGAAUGGCUCAUUAAAUCAGUUAUGGUUCCUUAGAUCGUUUCUUCCUACUUGGAUAACUGUGGCAAUUCUAGAGCUAAUACAUGCAGUGAGCCUGGAGCCCUUUGGGUAACGGGUGCUUUUAUUAGACCAAGAUCGAUCGGGUUUCGGCCCGUAUUGUGUGGUGACUCUGGAUAACUUUGUGCUGAUCGCAUGGCCACGAGCCGGCGACGUUUCUUUCAAGUGUCUGCCUUAUCAACUUUCGAUGGUAGGUUACUUGCUUACCAUGGUUGUUACGGGUAACGGAGAAUCAGGGUUCGAUUCCGGAGAGGGAGCCUGAGAAACGGCUACCACAUCCAAGGAAGGCAGCAGGCGCGCAAAUUACCCACUCCCGGCACGGGGAGGUAGUGACGAAAAAUAACAAUACGGGACUCUUUUGAGGCCCCGUAAUUGAAAUGAGUACACUCUAAAUCCUUUAACGAGGAUCAAUUGGAGGGCAAGUCUGGUCCCAGCAGCCA